UACGAAGGGGGCUAGCGUUGCUCGGAAUCACUGGGCGUAAAGCGCACGUAGGCGGAUUCUUAAGUCAGGGGUGAAAUCCUGGAGCUCAACUCCAGAACUGCCUUUGAUACUGAGGAGCUUGAGUCCGGGAGAGGUGAGUGGAACUGCGAGUGUAGAGGUGAAAUUCGUAGAUAUUCGCAAGAACACCAGUGGCGAAGGCGGCUCACUGGCCCGGUACUGACGCUGAGGUGCGAAAGCGUGGGGAGCAAACAGG
rnacentral:rRNA from 1 species